rnacentral:rRNA from 1 species
CGCGAUACAGGGUGACAGCCCCGUACACAAAAAUGCACAUGCUGUGAGCUCGAUGAGUAGGGCGGGACACGUGGUAUCCUGUCUGAAUAUGGGGGGACCAUCCUCCAAGGCUAAAUACUCCUGACUGACCGAUAGUGAACCAGUACCGUGAGGGAAAGGCGAAAAGAACCCCGGCGAGGGGAGUGAAAAAGAACCUGAAACCGUGUACGUACAAGCAGUGGGAGCCCUGAUUUAUCAGGGUGACUGCGUACCUUUUGUAUAAUGGGUCAGCGACUUAUAUUCUGUAGCAAGGUUAACCGAAUAGGGGAGCCGGAGGGAAACCGAGUCUUAACUGGGCGUUAAGUUGCAGGGUAUAGACCCGAAACCCGGUGAUCUAGCCAUGGGCAGGUUGAAGGUUGGGUAACACUAACUGGAGGACCGAACCGACUAAUGUUGAAAAAUUAGCGGAUGACUUGUGGCUGGGGGUGAAAGGCCAAUCAAACCGGGAGAUAGCUGGUUCUCCCCGAAAGCUAUUUAGGUAGCGCCUCGUGAAUUCAUCUCCGGGGGUAGAGCACUGUUUCGGCAAGGGGGUCAUCCCGACUUACCAACCCGAUGCAAACUGCGAAUACCGGAGAAUGUUAUCACGGGAGACACACGGCGGGUGCUAACGUCCGUCGUGAAGAGGGAAACAACCCAGACCGCCAGCUAAGGUCCCAAAGUCAUGGUUAAGUGGGAAACGAUGUGGGAAGGCCCAGACAGCCAGGAUGUUGGCUUAGAAGCAGCCAUCAUUUAAAGAAAGCGUAAUAGCUCACUGGUCGAGUCGGCCUGCGCGGAAGAUGUAACGGGGCUAAACCAUGCACCGAAGCUGCGGCAGCGACACUGUGUGUUGUUGGGUAGGGGAGCGUUCUGUAAGCCUGUGAAGGUGUGCUGUGAGGCAUGCUGGAGGUAUCAGAAGUGCGAAUGCUGACAUAAGUAACGAUAAAGCGGGUGAAAAGCCCGCUCGCCGGAAGACCAAGGGUUCCUGUCCAACGUUAAUCGGGGCAGGGUGAGUCGACCCCUAAGGCGAGGCCGAAAGGCGUAGUCGAUGGGAAACAGGUUAAUAUUCCUGUACUUGGUGUUACUGCGAAGGGGGGACGGAGAAGGCUAUGUUGGCCGGGCGACGGUUGUCCCGGUUUAAGCGUGUAGGCUGGUUUUCCAGGCAAAUCCGGAGAAUCAAGGCUGAGGCGUGAUGACGAGGCACUACGGUGCUGAAGCAACAAAUGCCCUGCUUCCAGGAAAAGCCUCUAAGCAUCAGGUAACAUCAAAUCGUACCCCAAACCGACACAGGUGGUCAGGUAGAGAAUACCAAGGCGCUUGAGAGAACUCGGGUGAAGGAACUAGGCAAAAUGGUGCCGUAACUUCGGGAGAAGGCACGCUGAUAUGUAGGUGAAGCGACUUGCUCGUGGAGCUGAAAUCAGUCGAAGAUACCAGCUGGCUGCAACUGUUUAUUAAAAACACAGCACUGUGCAAACACGAAAGUGGACGUAUACGGUGUGACGCCUGCCCGGUGCCGGAAGGUUAAUUGAUGGGGUCAGCGCAAGCGAAGCUCUUGAUCGAAGCCCCGGUAAACGGCGGCCGUAACUAUAACGGUCCUAAGGUAGCGAAAUUCCUUGUCGGGUAAGUUCCGACCUGCACGAAUGGCGUAAUGAUGGCCAGGCUGUCUCCACCCGAGACUCAGUGAAAUUGAACUCGCUGUGAAGAUGCAGUGUACCCGCGGCAAGACGGAAAGACCCCGUGAACCUUUACUAUAGCUUGACACUGAACACUGGUCCUUGAUGUGUAGGAUAGGUGGGAGGCUUUGAAGUGUGGACGCCAGUCUGCAUGGAGCCGUCCUUGAAAUACCACCCUUUAAUGGCUGGUGUUCUAACGUUGGCCCCUUACCGGGGUUGCGGACAGUGUCUGGUGGGUAGUUUGACUGGGGCGGUCUCCUCCUAAAGAGUAACGGAGGAGCACGAAGGUUGGCUAAUCCUGGUCGGACAUCAGGAGGUUAGUGCAAUGGCAUAAGCCAGCUUGACUGCGAGCGUGACGGCGCGAGCAGGUGCGAAAGCAGGUCAUAGUGAUCCGGUGGUUCUGAAUGGAAGGGCCAUCGCUCAACGGAUAAAAGGUACUCCGGGGAUAACAGGCUGAUACCGCCCAAGAGUUCAUAUCGACGGCGGUGUUUGGCACCUCGAUGUCGGCUCAUCACAUCCUGGGGCUGAAGUAGGUCCCAAGGGUAUGGCUGUUCGCCAUUUAAAGUGGUACGCGAGCUGGGUUUAGAACGUCGUGAGACAGUUCGGUCCCUAUCUGCCGUGGGCGCUGGAGAACUGAGGGGGGCUGCUCCUAGUACGAGAGGACCGGAGUGGACGCAUCACUGGUGUUCGGGUUGUCAUGCCAAUGGCACUGCCCGGUAGCUAAAUGCGGAAGAGAUAAGUGCUGAAAGCAUCUAAGCACGAAACUUGCCCCGAGAUGAGUUCUCCCUGAGACCUGGAGUCUCCUGAAGGAACGUUGAAGACGACGACGUUGAUAGGCCGGGUGUGUAAGCGCAGCGAUGCGUUGAGCUAACCGGUACUAAUGAACCGUGAGGCUUAACCUUACAACGCCGAAG